AUUGAACGCUAGCGGGAUGCUUUACACAUGCAAGUCGAACGAGAGGCGGACGGGUGAGAAAUACAUCUGAACGUCCCCCGUUUCGGGGGAUAACUACCCUAAAGAGUGGCUAAUAACGCAUACUAUUGGAGCGGCCGAUAUCGGAUUAGGUAGUUGGUGGGGUAAAGGAUCACCAAGGCAACGAUCCGUAGCUGGUUUGAGAGGACGGCCAGCCACACUGGAACUGAGACACGGCCCAGACUCCUACGGGAGGCAGCAGUGGGGAAUGUUAGACAAUGGGGUAAACCCUGAUCCAGCCAUCCCUCGUGUAUGAGAAUGCCUUCGGGUUGUAAAGUACUUUUGGCAGAGAAGCGGUAUCUGCAGAAUAAGCACCGGCUAACUACGUGCCAGCAGCCGCGGUAAUUC
rnacentral:rRNA from 1 species